rnacentral:rRNA from 1 species
UACGUAGGGUGCGAGCGUUGCCCGGAAUUAUUGGGCGUAAAGGGCUCGUAGGCGGUUUGUCACGUCGGGAGUGAAAACUCGGGGCUUAACCCCGAGCCUGCUUCCGAUACGGGCUGACUAGAGGUAUGCAGGGGAGAACGGAAUUCCUGGUGUAGCGGUGAAAUGCGCAGAUAUCAGGAGGAACACCGGUGGCGAAGGCGGUUCUCUGGGCAUUACCUGACGCUGAGGAGCGAAAGUGUGGGGAGCGAACAGG